AAAAACACUUGCCUUGGGACAAGUAUCUUUCAGCUGUCACAAGUCAUCCAAUCAGCACUCGCCACCUGCAUUUGGACAAACCAUGGUACCCAUACGUCGUCUUGGGAGUUUUGAGUUGCCACGCGGUGACGUGUCGUUAACUUUGUGGUUCGACCCUAGAAAAGAUUGAUUUGAUUUGGUGGACACGUGCCCCAGCUUUGAUCAAUAUCGUAACAUACUGAGAGUCUGUCUGGCUUUGCUUUUUUUUUCCUUCCC
rnacentral:lncRNA from 1 species